rnacentral:rRNA from 1 species
AAACCACCCGAAAAUUUCCCAGAAUAAAUAAAAUUUUACUAAACCUAUCAACACCAAAAAACAUUUAUAUUUUUUUCCACUAUUUAUAUAAUUUUUAAAAAAAAAAUAUUUUUUAAAAUUUAAAAAAACACCCUCAGAGAAAAUUCUCAAAAAAAAAAAUCUUUUAAAGAUAAAAAAGUUAAUAAAUUUCAUUUAAAUAAAUUUUAUUAGUAAAUAAUAAAUAUUAAUAGAUUAAAUUAAAUAUUAAAUUAUUAGGUGAAAUUUUAAUUUAAUUAAAAUUUUAAUAAAUAAUAUGAUUUAUUAAAUUUUAUAAAAAACUAGAAUUAGAUACUCUAUUAUUAAAAAUUAAAUAAAAAAUACUAAAAUAGUAUAUAAUUAUUUAUAGAAACUUAAAUAAUUUGGCGGUAUUUUAGUUCAUUUAGAGGAAUCUGUUUAAUAAUUGAUAAUCCACGAAUAAAUUUACUUAAUUUAUAUAUUUUGUAUAUCGUUGUUAAAAAAAUAUUUUUUAAUAAAAAUAAUAUUUAAAAAUUUUAAAAUUAAAUUAAUUCAGAUCAAGAUGCAGAUUAUAAUUAAGAAUAUAAUGGAUUACAAUAAGAAAUGAUUAAAUGAAUAAUAUAUUUUAAUAUAUAUUUGAAGGUGGAUUUAAAUGUAAUUUUAUUUAAUUUGAUAAAAUGAUUAAAAAUUGAAAUAUGUACAUAUUGCCCGUCGCUUUCAUUUAUAAAUUGGAAUAAGUCGUAACAAAGUAGAAGUACUGGAAAGUGUUUCUAGAAAGA